rnacentral:lncRNA from 1 species
CGAGAGACAGAUAACACGCUAACUGUUCAUUUAUUUUAUUUAAAAAUAAAUUUAAUUAAAAAUAUGAAUCAACUAUAAUUCGAAUUUGAAAUUUGGGAUACCAAUCACCAAGUUCUUUGAUACUUGCUCUAGGAACGGUAGGUUGAAUUCGUAAUUUUCAAAUCAGGAGAACCUUUUUUUACUGCAUAGAUUUAAAUACAUAGAUUGUGAACAUUUUGUGAUGAUUGUUCAGUAAUUUUUCAUGUUAUUCACCCACGCCACUAUAAUUAUUAUCUACCUAUAUUUAUACACAGUAAAUUGCGUUACAAGUACUGUUCAAUAAUAAUAAACCUUCCAAGAAAAAUAAUUUAGGAAUUCUCCCUAAUUUCCCAUGCUCCCCGCCAAAAAAAAAAAAAAAAAAAAAAAAAAAANUAAAAUUAAAUUUCAUCUAAUUGGAAAUCCAAAAAAGAUUUUCCUUUAUUUUAGAGGGUUGUGCGGCCCACAAUUUUUUUAGGAUUAAUUGUAUAAUGUUUCCCAAACUUUUCACUAUUUUUUUUUUGUUCCUAAAUUUUUUCAAAUCUCUUAAUUUCAUCGCGAUAAAGUAGCAACUAUUAAAAAAUAUUUUAAAAUUAACGAAAUUAUUAUGCCAUCGCCGAUCGCCUAUUUAACUUUUUUUUGCAUGCCAAUUUUGAUUUCUAAAUUUUGCAUGCUUUUCACUUCAGUUCCCAAAACAUAUAUGAAUUGACAAUACUAAAGAAGGUCUUUUCUUAUUUUGGAGGGUUGUGGGGUCCACACAAUUUUUUUAAAAAUUAAUUUACAUAAUAAUAAUAAUAUAAUAAUAUUAGAUUAUUUAUUUGGUAGUUAAAAUUUUUUACAGUGUAAAAAAUAUCUGUUUUGAUUAGUCUUAUUUUUUAUACUUCUAAUAAUUAUCUACUGAUUUCUUCACUAAUCUAAAAUUUAGAAAUCAAAUACUUUAUUAGUUGUAUUACCUACUAUUUUUUUGUUUUAUUUUAUAAUGAUUUAUUUAUUUUACUUAUUAAAUUUAAAUAUUUUUUGAAAGAAAUCUACUUUAAUAUUAUUUUUGAAUUUAUUUUUUAAUUUUUUAUUAUUCAAUACUGAGAUAAAUAAUAUUUAAAAAUAUUAAUGCAUAAUAUUUAAAAAAUAUCUGUUUUGAUUAGUCUUAUUUUUUUAAUUCUAAAUUUAUCUACUGAUUUCUUCACUAAUCUAAAAUUUAGAAAUCAAAUACUUUUUAGUUGUAUUACCUACUAUUUUUUUGUUUUUUUAUAAUGAUUAUUUAUUUACUUAUUAAAUUUAAAUAUUUUUUGAAAGAAAUCUACUUUAAUAUUAUUUUUGAAUUUAUUUUUAAUUUUUAUUAUUCAUACUGAGAUAAAUAAUAUUUAAAAAUAUUAAUAUUAAUAAAAAAAAUAUUAAUAAUUAUAAUAAUUUAUUGUUAUAUUAUCUUUCCGCUAGUACCUUCACUAUUUGAAAAUGUUGUUUACAAGUGUCACGCCAUUGGCGGAAGUAGUUGGGGGUUGGUCCACAAGACUAACUUCAAAAAAUAAAGAAAAAAAAGGUAGCAAUAUCAUAUAUGUUUGUGUGGAGUGAGGAGUGGGAGUGUGAAGUGUGAACACGGAGUCGGUCUCCCUCUCGUUGUUCGGCUGCGUCGUCACUCUCUCCCUGAAGCACUCAACAGUGACUCCUCGAUAGUGACCCUUUGAAUUCCUAUUUUUUUUUUUUUUUUUUUUUUUCGAGAGACAGAUAACACGCUAACUGUUUCAUUUAUUUUAUUUAAAAAUAAAUUUAAUUAAAAAUAUGAAUCAACUAUAAUUCGAAUUUGAAAUUUGGAGAUACCAAUCACCAAGUUCUUUGAUACUUGCUCUAGGAACGGUAGGUUGAAUUCGUAAUUUUCAAAUCAGGAGAACCUUUUUUUACUGCAUAGAUUUAAAUACAUAGAUUGUGAACAUUUUGUGAUGAUUGUUCAGUAAUUUUUCAUGUUAUUCACCCAGCCACUAUAAUUAUUAUCUACCUAUAUUUAUACACAGUAAAUUGCGUUACAAGUACUGUUCAAUAAUAAUAAACCUUCCAAGAAAAAUAAUUUAGGAAUUCUCCCUAAUUUCCCAUGCUCC